GACGGAGGGUGCGAGCGUUAUUCGGAAUCAUUGGGCGUAAAGGGCGUGCAGGCGGCUGGUCAAGUCAGACGUGAAAGCCCGGGGCUUAACCUCGGAAGUGCGUUUGAAACUGGCCGGCUUGAGUUCGGGAGAGGGAAGCGGAAUUCCUGGUGUAGAGGUGAAAUUCGUAGAUAUCAGGAGGAACACCGGUGGCGAAGGCGGCUUCCUGGACCGAAACUGACGCUGAGACGCGAAAGCGUGGGGAGCAAACAGGAUUAGAUACCCGCGUAGUCC
rnacentral:rRNA from 1 species